rnacentral:rRNA from 1 species
GACGAACGCUGGCGGCGUACUUAACACAUGCAAGUCGAACGGAAAGGCCCUGCUUUUGUGGGGUGCUCGAUUGGCGAACGGGUGAGUAACACGUGAGUAACCUGCCCUUGACUUUGGGAUAACUCCAGGAAACUGGGGCUAAUACCGGAGAGGAGCUCCUGCUGCACGGUGGGGGUUGGAAAGUUUCGGCGGUUGGGGAUGGACUCGCGGCUUACCAGCUUGUUGGUGGGGUAGUGGCUUACCAAGGCUUUGACGGGUAGCCGGCCUGAGCGGGUGACCGGCCACAUUGGGACUGAGGGACGGCCCAGACUCCUACGGGAGGCAGCAGGGGGGAAUAUUGCAGAAUGGGCGGAAGCCUGAUGCAGCAACGCCGCGUGCGGGAUGACGGCCUUCGGGUUGUAAACCGCUUUCGCCUGUGACGAAGCGUGAGUGACGGUAAUGGGUAAAGAAGCACCGGCUAACUACGUG